AGGGGAGGAGAGAAGACUAAUUUGCCAGAGCGCUCCUUGAUUUAUUCCAUCUUUUCUCAAGGUGGUAUAUGUGGCGUGCCCUAUGAGUGCACAUGCUACUUAUUCCAUCCAUCUAGGGGCAAGGCUAGCAGAUGCCCAGAGGAGAACACCUGGUAAUCUAGAGUUGUUGGAAUCAUCAAUGUCUUGCUCAGACGGCACAAGCCGAACUCACAUGAUGCAGAGAGUUCCUGUUGGGGCACAGCCUGAAGCGUGGGUGUAUGGCUGGGACCAGUUCCUGAUUCUGGGCUGAUCUGUGUUAGAUGGAUGGCUCCCAGCAGGGUACUGACGUUGGUAUUUUCCAUAUGAACUUCAAAGCCCUCCAGCGGUGGUGGGGCCUUUUCAGAACCACUAAGGUUUGGGUGUCAGCGCCAACCAGCAGACUCUCCAAAUCGCUUCCAUCUUUUGCAUUGUGCUGAAACAUGAUACCAUCCCUUCCCUGCACACGCAUAUGCACACACACACACUUUUGCUCAUUUCAGUGGAAUAGGCCUCUUCACAAAGUCACUUUCGGGAACCAUAGAACACGGGAUCUGCCUGGGCACAUCCCGUUCUCAGUGCUGCACACUUCAGCUGUGUGCCCAACUAACAGAGCAGGCUCUCAGUGAGCUACCUGGAGCAACAGGAUCCUAGCACAUUAUCACCAUACCCUCAUAUUUAUUCCACCUUGGGAGUUGUAUACUGAAGCAUGCUUUAUAAAUUAUAGAUUAAGUUAUAAAUUAAAAAUCAGAAUGAAAGCAUGGAAGCAAAAUCUCUCACUCUGCUCGGAACAGCAGGCAGAGCUGCCUCAAAGACAAA